GGCCAGGUAGCUCAGUCUGGUAGAGCAGGGGACUGAAAAUCCCCGUGUCGGCGGUUCAAGUCCGUCCCUGGCCACCA
rnacentral:tRNA from 1 species